UUUGAUCAUGGCUCAGAACGAACGCUGGCGGCAGGCCUAACACAUGCAAGUCGAGCGAACCUAGCUUGCUAGGUGAGCGGCGAACGGGUGAGUAACGCGUAGGAAUCUGCCCAAUAGUGGGGGACAACGUUCCGAAAGGGACGCUAAUACCGCAUACGCCCUACGGGGGAAAGCAGGGGAUCUUCGGACCUUGCGCUAUUGGAUGAGCCUGCGUCGGAUUAGCUAGUUGGCGGGGUAAAGGCCCACCAAGGCGACGAUCCGUAGCUGGUCUGAGAGGAUGAUCAGCCACACCGGAACUGAGACACGGUCCGGACUCCUACGGGAGGCAGCAGUGGGGAAUAUUGGACAAUGGGGGCAACCCUGAUCCAGCCAUGCCGCGUGUGUGAAGAAGGCCUUCGGGUUGUAAAGCACUUUAAGGGGGGAGGAAGGUUCGCUGGUUAAUACCCAGCGGAAUUGACGUUACCCCCAGAAUAAGCACCGGCUAACUUCGUGCCAGCAGCCGCGGUAAUACGAGGGGUGCAAGCGUUAAUCGGAAUUACUGGGCGUAAAGCGCGCGUAGGCGGUUUGAUAAGUCGAUUGUGAAAGCCCUGGGCUCAACCUAGGAAUUGCAGUCGAGACUGUCAGACUAGAGUGUGGGAGAGGGUGGUGGAAUUCCCGGUGUAGCGGUGAAAUGCGUAGAUAUCGGGAGGAACAUCAGUGGCGAAGGCGACCGCCUGGCCCAACACUGACGCUGAGGUGCGAAAGCGUGGGUAGCAAACAGGAUUAGAUACCCUGGUAGUCCACGCCGUAAACGAUGUCAACUAGCCGUUGGAGACCUUAGAGUCUUUAGUGGCGCAGCUAACGCACUAAGUUGACCGCCUGGGGAGUACGGCCGCAAGGUUAAAACUMAAUGAAUUKGACGGGGGCCCGCACAAGCGGUGGGAGCAUGKGGUUUAAUUUCGAUGCAACGCGYGAACCUUUACCGSCCCCUUGA
rnacentral:rRNA from 1 species